GCCUUCAUGAAGCCGGAAUUGCUAGUAAUGGCAGGUCAGCAUACUGCCGUGAAUACGUUCCCGGGCCUUGUACACACCGCCCGUCACACCAUGAGAGUUGGGAAUACCCGAAGCCUGUGAGCUAACUAUAUGAGGCAGCAGUCGAAGGUAGAAUCAAUGAUUGGGGUGAAGUCGUAACAAGGUACC
rnacentral:rRNA from 1 species